rnacentral:rRNA from 1 species
UACGUAGGGUGCAAGCGUUAAUCGGAAUUACUGGGCGUAAAGCGUGCGCAGGCGGUUAUGCAAGACAGAUGUGAAAUCCCCGGGCUUAACCUGGGAACUGCAUUUGUGACUGCAUAGCUGGAGUACGGCAGAGGGGGGUGGAAUUCCGCGUGUAGCAGUGAAAUGCGUAGAUAUGCGGAGGAACACCGAUGGCGAAGGCAGUCCCCUGGGCCUGUACUGACGCUCAUGCACGAAAGCGUGGGGAGCAAACAGG